UGUAGCUCAGUGGUAGAGCACUUGCUUUGCAUGCUUGAGGUCCUGGGUUUAAUCCUCAGUA
rnacentral:tRNA from 1 species